GGGAUGACACAGUAGGAUAAGCUAAGCACACUGAUGGUUAUGUGUGCCCAAGCAUUGAGGCAGUCAAAGUAGGCAAAUCCGCUUUGAUAAUGCUGGGAUGUGAUGGGGAGCGAAAUUUAGUAGCGAAGUAGCUGAUUUCACACUGUCAAGAAAAGUCUCUAGCGAGGUUAAAGGUACCCGUACCGCAAACCGACACAGGUGGGUGAGGAGAGUAUCCUAAGGCUAGCGAGAGAACUGUUGUUAAGGAACUCGGCAAAAUGACCCCGUAACUUAGGGAUAAGGGGUGCCA
rnacentral:rRNA from 1 species